rnacentral:lncRNA from 1 species
CCAAGUUCUGUAUAAUCACCAAAACAUAUACUUCCAAGUUAUAAAAUAAAAUUAUAUACUUACUUAUGUAAGUAAUAACCAUCAUAGAGCAACCUUAAAAUGUAAAAUUUGUAGAAAAUUCAUCUUUAGUCUAAAUGAAGUGAACCAAAUAUCUAUAGAACCAGCAAACAGUGGGCUUCAACAUAGUAAAAUAAAAUAUGGAACCUUCUGUACAGGUUAUAGCUCUAAACUUUAAAUUUAUAGGAUAGGAGCUAAUCACAUAGUAUCGAUUGAGCAAUAUGUAUAUAUAUAAAUGUACAUAGAAAUACACUCUAGCUAUAAUGAAACCCAAAUAAAACUUGUUAGACCAGUGAAUGCAUAGUUCCAUUCCCAUCCACCAAAACUUAAGGCACUUAGCUUAUGUAAUAAUUUCUAGGUUGAUAUAAUAAAUUGCUAACAUGGACUAGAGCUCCCCUAGUUUAUAAAAUAUGAACCAUGAUAAUAAAGACCAUAAGCCUAUGAACUAAGGUUAGAUUAGUUAACUAAAAUACUCAUUUUAUACAUCACUAGCUAGAUGAGGCAAGUUCUAGACCUAAACCUCUAAAGCCAUGAACCUAUAGAACACUAUACACCUAUAACACGUUAUAAUUUGUAAAAUACAUAAAGAAUUCAUAUUAACUCUAAAAAUUAUGAAACCAAAUGUGUUAGUCUUAGAAAACACAUAUCUUCACCCCAGCAAACAUAAACUUAAUAAGAAUCACCUUAUAACAGCAUUUCACAAUAGUACCUAAGUAAAUCCUACGCUAUACCGAUGAAACUUCUAAAAUUCAUAAUUCUCAAAUGAAAUGAGAUAAAAUAGAAAUUCUUUCACCUAAAUUCAUUUUAGACCAGUACCUAUUCGCUGUGCACAAAUCAUCCAUUUUAGAGCAUUUUGGAUUUUUCGCAUAUUUCGGUGUUUAAUUGCAUAACGUGUACUUUGUAUAGAUGAUUGCUUAAUCGGUGAAGAAGUGAUUUAGGUGCUGAUAUUUUCCUGAUUCAAGGCAAGUCCCACCUCCCUCUCUUUGAUCACUUUGAACCUAUGUUUUGGAGGUUAUUGAAAAUGUUUGCAAAUCUUGCAUGUCGAUUGUACACUAAUAAAUUAAAAUUUUGUUAAACUUGUUGGACAAACUCCUAUUGUUUGCAUUCACCUUGACCCCACAUAUAUCCAUAUCCCUCACUCCUAACCUUAGGAACAAUAUGACUAUACCACUUUAUAUAUGACUUUUGGUGACACUAGGUUACUAUAUAAAGCUUAGCCAUGCUUAGAAUUGUCUUCCUUGUCAUUAUGGGCUCAUUACAAACAUGAAAAUAAAUUUUUAAUUAAUCUGGACAGAACUUUAAUACUUGUGAUUUUGAUAAAUAAAAUGGUGGAAAAACAUGGAUUUUAGGUUUGGGCCUCAAGUGGUGCACAUAUGGUGAUUAGUUGUGUACCGAUAGGGGGAGAGUGUGCCCAAACCGACCUAAGGACUUCACUCAAUGUCAGUUCAUUUCGUAUACAGUGCAACCACAUGUGCUAGUAUGGGAUAGCCCAAGCUUAGUAAAUUAUUUAUGGUUUAGCCUUACAUUCUGGUAGGCUGGUGUGUAUGAGUUCGGAUAACUCAGAGGAACUUCCUAUUUACCCCGACGUGGUAGUUUAGGUGACUAAGUCUGUCCAAUACAACGGUAUUGUGCCACGUGGGUGGGUUCCCGUUGUGUCCGCCACCACGGCGUUAAGUUUAAGGCGUGGGCCCGCCACUUAACGGUUCUAGGUCAUAUAACGUGUAUGGCUUAGGAUGGAGUAACACGUAUCGUGCUGGUGUAAGGCUAAAUCAUGAAUUUUGGAAAAGCUUUGUUGUGGGUAAUAAAUCGGGUACUUAUGUAUCGCGUGACAUGCUCUUGCAUGAUUAUUAUUUCGCAUCAUGUGGGUAAAGUGUACAAACUCUGCAGAGUUAAAACUAAUCGAUUAGCCGUGCUCGCGGUCAUGAGCGGCGUGUGGAUAUGUAUUGAGUAUAGACUUGUGUUUACUCUCCUAAAUGCUGAAAUUUACCUUCAAAUUGUGAUGAGAUUUGAGAAUGAUCUCCUUGCUGCCAUGGAUGGCAAUAAGGUGAAUAUUUAUACAUGAUUAAUGCCUACCUUGAUGCCCAAUACGUCAAAUACUAGCUUGCUGAAAUUUAUUUGAAAGUAAACCUGAUUUAGAAAUGUUUUAUGCAAAUAAAACUUGCUUUAUGCUAAAAAGAACCAUAUUAUGCCUUCCUUGAUUAUAUGCCUUGCAAGUAGGGUCUUAGGCUUGUCUUGGUGCUUGCCAGUACAUUAUUUCUAAUAAUGUACUGACUCUUGCUAUGGAAUUAACCUUUUGCUUGCAGGAUUUAGACUUAGCCUUUGAGUGAUGCGGGUGAUCGACUGCUUCUUCUAGGACUUGAACUUAAUGGGGUAAACCCCUAGUCGGUGUGCUUGUGGAUUGGGUAGACAAGCUUCCGCUGUUCUAUAUAUUUAUUUGGCCAGUCGGCCGAUGUAACUAAAGUAGAUGUAGUUUAUAAUCGCUUUCAUCUUAUUUGUGUUUGCUAUGUAUAAUCAUGCUUGAGAUGAAAGUGUGAAUCUAGUGCACAUCCUGGGAACUAGAUUCACAUGAGUAUGAGUUAAGAAUAUUUGAGAUGUUGUAGAUCUUUAGCCAUUUUUGUCAAGUCUCCUGAAUGUGUAACACAUCUGGUCACCGCCUUCGAGUGGUUUGACGGGCACAUCUCAGGCUGAAGUUGACUGGCAGGCUAAAGGCCCGGCAAUGUCUCCAAUAUUUCUCUCUCGAGGCGUCGGAUAUUUCAUUAUACUUGUUUGAUGACUUGAAUUAUACAUUUCAUCUCUCAAUUAUAAUGGAAGGUCCGGAGAGCCUACGACAGCAUGGUAUCAGAGCAAAUACCGACUAUAGGAGCCCCUUAAGUUGGUCGUUUAGAAUGAUUCCUUAAAAUUAUUUUGAGUACUAUGCUCUCAGCUACAAAUUAUUUGCGAAUAUUAUAUUCUAUCUUUUAUCUCAUCCCUCUUUAUAGAUUAUUUUCCUCUAUCUCUAUUUUGAUUUUGGAAACUCUUAUCUUGCUCUAUAGGACCGUAACAUUUUGAAAAUGCUACUUCUGUAUAAAUGUGUUUGAAAUCACCUAAUAAUCAAUAUAAAAUAAUAUGAAAGUGUUUUGAAAAGUUUUAAAAUCCAUUUGCAACCUACACCUAUGUACUAGUACGGAUUUGUAAAAUAUCGGGUUAGAGAUAGCCUCUAGUGAAUGGGUUUUGAAAAUGGGUUGAUAAAAUUUAAAACUUGAUAGACAUGAUAGAAUUUCCAUCUCCCUAUGUCGUCUCUGCACUAAAAAUGGAUUGGGUUUAUUUUGAACUCCUUUCUCCCGAAAUUUUAAAAUUUUACCGAUAUGGCCUAAAACGAGUAGUUUUGAAUAGGAUAGAAUUUGUUGUGCUUAAAACUUUAGAUUGUUUGCUUAGAUGGACCACCCAAAAUUCAUAUAGUUUCUGGACCACUCUAACAUAAUGCCAUUAAAAUAUGGUGAAUUUACGUAACUUAAAACUUGCAUAAAGUUUCAUUUUGUGCCGGUUAUUCUUUUUCUGGAAUCUUGAGUCAGUCAGUUUGUUCUUUUUGUCUAGGCUAAACCGUAGGUGAUAAACCUGAGAAUUUUUACAGGCAACAUGUAGACUAACUAAGCAAGCUUCAUGAAUUUUGACAUAAUUUUUAGACCCCUGCAUCAUGGUAAAACAAUUUAAUUAGGUAGCAUAACUACGUUCUGAAAUCUGUAGACAGCUGCAUUCAUCUUUCUGUGUAGCCCAAAGCAUGCAUGAUAAAAUAUGCACCUUUUCACAGUAGCUUAUCAACAUACCUAGUAGUCUCCACGAAUUUUGGCUAAAGUUUUGAGUCUUUGCAUCAUGGCAUAAAAAUUCAUAUGGCACUGCAUAGUCCCAAUCUGAAAACAGUAGUCAACCUGGUUGUUUAAUUUGUGUAGUCUAAACUAUAAAUGAUAAAAUCUUGGUUCCUUCAAGGUAGUUCACAACCUAACUCACCCAUCUCUCUGAUUUUUGCCUGGAUUUUUGCACCUUUAGAACUUGACCUAAAAGUUCAACAAAGACAGUAAACUGACAAAAUCCAGCACUGCACUACUUGGCAUGAUCAUUUUCUCUAAAAUAAUCCACUUGUCCAAAAAUCACCAUUCUUUUCCAGGUUAAAGACCACUUUGUUAGGAUGAUGAAUAUAAUAUUUUUUUUCUUAGCUUGUCAUCCCACUAGCAUAGACUUUUGUUUCAGUUUAUACCUCGGAACUGGGUAGGACAGCACCUAGCACAUAUGUCGAUUUAGCCCUUCAUUAAAAAUUUCUUUGAUAAACCUCAUAGCAAAAACUUUAUUUUUUUUAAGGGGGAUAGUGUACCAUGACCUUAUACACCCAGAGACAAAUAUGCAAUCUUGAUAAGCCCCCCUCAAUGCCUAAAAGAAACCCACCAUACUAGGAACAAGUCAUAAGCAAACUAUGUGAUUUAUGUUGAGAUGGCUCAAUGCGCGAAUUUUGUACCCCUUUAUGGUUGGAUGCAAGAUCUGUACAUUGAAGCAACUCACAAACAUGGUUUGGAACCUUGACUUAAAGAUUUUGAAAACUUCUCUAAAAUGAUCUACUUGUUUUAAAAAUUACCACCGCAACCUACUAAUCAGUUGAACCGAAGGGGAUUGUACUAUGGCAUGUAUGCAAUACAAAAAUACCUUCAUAAGCAUUGAAUCAUUCCAUACAUUCAUCGCAUCAUCCAUUUAUCAUGAAAUCAUAGCAUACAUCCAUGCCUUCUUAAAAAAAAAUAUUGCUAUACAUGCCAUCAAGCAACCCACUUAACUUUAAAUUGGUAACCUUCGAGCUUGCUGUCCAAAAUUUUAAAAUUUUGGAAAUGUGGGCUCAACUAAGAUAGAUCAAUGACCAUAGAUCCAAAAAAAAAAAUAUGUACCAUAAUGUACCUUGUUAGAACCAACUUCUCUAGUACCACUUUUUGAUUAUCUACCAAAGCCUUCGUAAACCACAAUUGAGUAAAACCUGCCACCCAUCUAUUAAAUAGAAGUUUCAAAAUGUUUUAUGGUAGCAAGUCUAUGAUACAACUUAAGAAAGUUACUAUCAUUUAUCAAUCCUCAGGAGAUAGUCAUGACUUAAGCUAACCUCACCCACAGGAAAUUAAGUAGAACCUUUUAUUAGAGGUAUUAAAUGUGGUAUGUUUGAAAGAGAUUUAGAAAAAAAAAAUAAUUAAAUCAGAUACUAUAGUGUUAUCGGAAAGCAUCAUACAAGUAAAACUUUCGGUAGGUCUUUCAAUGUCAUCAAGGUUAGGAUUAUAAUCCAUUCUUAACUUUGACAAAUUACCGGGGGCUCGAUAGUAAGAACCACACUAAAAGAGUAGAAUUCUCAGGAAGCCAACACAUUGAACAAUGUAACCACCCACAACCAUACCCAAAUCUCGGGGACGAGAUUUAUUUAAGGGGGAUAGGUUGUAACAUACCCGAAUUCUAGGAUUAAGGAAUUUCUAUCAAAACUAGUUGAAAGGAAAGUUCUUCAAUUUUGUAAACCAAAAAUUUCCAUUUUAAACCUAGGUGAAGUUGAUCUAACUCUUGCAUGAUAAAAUUUUAAAACAAAUUAAAACCUUUGCAUCUCUAACCUAGGACAAAAAUAUAAAUUUAUGUGUAAGCAUGCAUACUCUCAUAGACAUGUUUGACUUGAGUCCUUCAUAUGCAUUUGGAUUUGGAUUGCAUUUGGAUUUUCGAUUUGCAUUUCAUAAUAGGUCUCAUGAAUAUUAACUAAGAUCUAGAUAAACAACUAAACCAUUAGGGCCUAGUGCUAGCUAGAGGAAGUUAAAAUAGAAACCAUACACCUUAAAAUAUAUCAACAAGGCCAAUGUCAAGCCCCACAAAACUAUUUUGGUCAUCCAUCUGAAGACUAGUCAUGAACAUGGAAGUGACCAAAUAAAUUAUAUCAUAUAGGGUAUAUUCUAUCUUAAUCAUCUCUAUAAGCAUUCUCUUAAUUUAAUACUAAAGUAAACUUGUGCAUAAUAGGUAAGGAGCUUAUGACCUGUGUAAUGUAAAUUGUAAUUCUAACAUAUCAACAUCACCUCAGGUUAAUGAGAGUCCAAAUAUAACUUUUAUAAACAUUUACAUGCAUUUAGGAAAGGGAAACAUAUAUAAGACAUAAGUCUUGCGAAUUAUCUAAAAUAAUUCGUGCAAGAUAAAACCAUGGGAAAAUUCAUGUAGGCUCUAAUCAACACAUGCAACUCACUGUAAUUUUGGUAUGAUUUAAUAACUAAAUUUGGUACCUCAAAUAAAUCAGUCAAACUAAUAAAAACUAGAUUAACUGUAGUUCUUAAUCGGCUAAAACCAUACUUUGUCUAAAAGUGCAUUUAACUGCAUAAAAGUGUAUAAGUAAAAUAAUUUAUUCAAAUACUAGGUCAUUUAUAAUGAAUAAAAAUAAAUUUUCCAGAAUUUAUCUUCUCUAUUUAGGUCUCCUAAAAAUUCGAACUAGUUUCCAAAGAACCCAUAUUCCUCUAAUUUCUGUGAGUAAUCUAUCCAUAAUUUUUGAGUGCAACCAAAGAAAAUGGAAACUAGGUACAUACACCUACCUCCAGUAAAAUCAACACUAGUUAAUCUGAUCAACACAUUAAGUAUUGAAGCUACAAAAUUAGAGGAGAAAAUAAUUCCGGAAAUUCGUCCAAAAACCAAGCUCACCCAUGUCUCUGCCUACACAUCUCUCUUCCACCUAGUUUACUUCGACCUGGGCCCCCUUGUCAGUCCCUCCGGCUUGCCCUUCCUCUGUGCAACUUCCCUAGCCGACCGAGAAACACUGAGAGGGAGAGAUCGAGCGCCGACCGGCUCUGGACGCCGCGCGACGCGUGGCCACGACGUGUCGACGCCCUAAAAACGCCGAGCUCCAUUUCUGCCUCUCCCAGACGCGUCGCCACUCUUCACCCACCAUUCCAGUGCCGAUCCAUCCGAGGGAGAGCAUCCUCGCUGCUCUUCUCCACUGGUUCUCCAUCGCCGGCCACGAAGAAGACAAUGGCCGCAAUCGUUGAUGAGCCGCGGUUGUUUCCUCUUCUCUUGCGUUCCAUACUCUCCUCACCAUGCCGAAUAUUUCUCCUUUUGAUUUCAUCCUCUCUGGUGCAGCCAAUCGGCGGGAACGCUGCCGUGCACACCGGAGCUCUGGAGCGCGCUCUGCGCACCGCCGCAGCGACAUCGUCGCCGUUGCCAUCAAUCUAGAUCAAGCCGGAGCGAGCCACCACGCCACCAGCUUCACCUCAACCUCCUCUCCAUUUCCCCUCAAGAAUCUUGAAGAAUGGUGCUACGAGUGUGGAGAUCGUCCACCGUCUUCUCCACCUCCGGUCGCCGUCGCCAUUGUCGAUUCCGCCUCCUCCGGUGAGCCAUUGUCCGAUUCUUCGCGUAUACACCAUCCCUGGGACCUCACUAACCCCAUGAAAACACAUGCAUGUCAAUUCGAUGAGUGGAUCGAGCCGUUGCCGUCUUCCCGGAGCUCUACACCGUCGCCGGACCAUCUUCUUCUCCGCUGCCGCUGUCCAGACUUUCCGGCGCCUCGUUCAAGGUUCGGUGAGCACCCUUGAGCCCAUAGGAUUGCAUUCAUGCAUUUCAUUCACUUAGAAUUGAGCACCAACUCAACAUGCAGUAGCAGCCUAAGCACAGCCGCCGCUCGGACUCGCCGCCGGCGUUACUCCGAUGUCCACUGACCAAGAAAAGAAGAGGAAUGGAAUCGCAAUAGCAUGAUCUUCAUUUUGUCUUUUGGUCGCACCCUCAAACGAGCCACCGUUUGCCGCUGGCAAGCUUGAGAUCGAGCUCAGCCAUGGCUGUUCUGCCUCUCUGCGUGAGAAAAGAAGUCAGGGACCUUGUUUCGAGAAUUUAAACAACUAUAAGGUUUAAUGUGCAACUUUUCAAUUCACUGACAUAUGAGCCUAGGUCUGCGGGUUGAUUCUUAGAAACCUCAGGGAUCUUUUUGUAUAUUGAUCUCUCACUGACAGUGGACCCCUUGGAAACAAAAUCUGGAAUUAUAAAAGAACAGUAACUAAAACUUGUAAAAUCCAUAUAAAAUUAAAUAUAGCUCAUUUUAAGAUGAUUCAAAUUUCUGUGAACUCACCAAAUUGGGAAAUUUGAUGUUAUGGAAUAAAAACUUGCACUCACAGUACAAAUUUAGCCUCUAAAAUUUAUCCAAGUUAAAUCACACAUAAAGCACGCACAAAUUUAUAAAAUGCAUACAAAAUUCAUUUCAACUCAUUUUAGAGCAAACUUAGUUUCUACAGAUCCACCAACAUGUUCUCUAAAAAUAAAUUAAAAUAAAACAUAUAAACACUUUACAUCAAAUGCCUCUAAAACUAUUAUCUUUAAAAUAACUAGUUUGGCAUAAGAUGAACUUUAGAAGUUUAUAUAAAACUCAUCUUAGAUCCUUUUUGAAUAAACCCAAGUUCUGUAUAAUCACCAAAACAUAUACUUCCAAGUUAUAAAAUAAAAUUAUAUACUUACUUAUGUAAGUAAUAACCAUCAUAGAGCAACCUUAAAAUGUAAAAUUUGUAGAAAAUUCAUCUUUAGUCUAAAUGAAGUGAACCAAAUAUCUAUAGAACCAGCAAACAGUGGGCUUCAACAUAGUAAAAUAAAAUAUGGAACCUUCUGUACAGGUUAUAGCUCUAAACUUUAAAUUUAUAGGAUAGGAGCUAAUCACAUAGUAUCGAUUGAGCAAUAUGUAUAUAUAUAAAUGUACAUAGAAAUACACUCUAGCUAUAAUGAAACCCAAAUAAAACUUGUUAGACCAGUGAAUGCAUAGUUCCAUUCCCAUCCACCAAAACUUAAGGCACUUAGCUUAUGUAAUAAUUUCUAGGUUGAUAUAAUAAAUUGCUAACAUGGACUAGAGCUCCCCUAGUUUAUAAAAUAUGAACCAUGAUAAUAAAGACCAUAAGCCUAUGAACUAAGGUUAGAUUAGUUAACUAAAAUACUCAUUUUAUACAUCACUAGCUAGAUGAGGCAAGUUCUAGACCUAAACCUCUAAAGCCAUGAACCUAUAGAACACUAUACACCUAUAACACGUUAUAAUUUGUAAAAUACAUAAAGAAUUCAUAUUAACUCUAAAAAUUAUGAAACCAAAUGUGUUAGUCUUAGAAAACACAUAUCUUCACCCCAGCAAACAUAAACUUAAUAAGAAUCACCUUAUAACAGCAUUUCACAAUAGUACCUAAGUAAAUCCUACGCUAUACCGAUGAAACUUCUAAAAUUCAUAAUUCUCAAAUGAAAUGAGAUAAAAUAGAAAUUCUUUCACCUAAAUUCAUUUUAGACCAGUACCUAUUCGCUGUGCACAAAUCAUCCAUUUUAGAGCAUUUUGGAUUUUUCGCAUAUUUCGGUGUUUAAUUGCAUAACGUGUACUUUGUAUAGAUGAUUGCUUAAUCGGUGAAGAAGUGAUUUAGGUGCUGAUAUUUUCCUGAUUCAAGGCAAGUCCCACCUCCCUCUCUUUGAUCACUUUGAACCUAUGUUUUGGAGGUUAUUGAAAAUGUUUGCAAAUCUUGCAUGUCGAUUGUACACUAAUAAAUUAAAAUUUUGUUAAACUUGUUGGACAAACUCCUAUUGUUUGCAUUCACCUUGACCCCACAUAUAUCCAUAUCCCUCACUCCUAACCUUAGGAACAAUAUGACUAUACCACUUUAUAUAUGACUUUUGGUGACACUAGGUUACUAUAUAAAGCUUAGCCAUGCUUAGAAUUGUCUUCCUUGUCAUUAUGGGCUCAUUACAAACAUGAAAAUAAAUUUUUAAUUAAUCUGGACAGAACUUUAAUACUUGUGAUUUUGAUAAAUAAAAUGGUGGAAAAACAUGGAUUUUAGGUUUGGGCCUCAAGUGGUGCACAUAUGGUGAUUAGUUGUGUACCGAUAGGGGGAGAGUGUGCCCAAACCGACCUAAGGACUUCACUCAAUGUCAGUUCAUUUCGUAUACAGUGCAACCACAUGUGCUAGUAUGGGAUAGCCCAAGCUUAGUAAAUUAUUUAUGGUUUAGCCUUACAUUCUGGUAGGCUGGUGUGUAUGAGUUCGGAUAACUCAGAGGAACUUCCUAUUUACCCCGACGUGGUAGUUUAGGUGACUAAGUCUGUCCAAUACAACGGUAUUGUGCCACGUGGGUGGGUUCCCGUUGUGUCCGCCACCACGGCGUUAAGUUUAAGGCGUGGGCCCGCCACUUAACGGUUCUAGGUCAUAUAACGUGUAUGGCUUAGGAUGGAGUAACACGUAUCGUGCUGGUGUAAGGCUAAAUCAUGAAUUUUGGAAAAGCUUUGUUGUGGGUAAUAAAUCGGGUACUUAUGUAUCGCGUGACAUGCUCUUGCAUGAUUAUUAUUUCGCAUCAUGUGGGUAAAGUGUACAAACUCUGCAGAGUUAAAACUAAUCGAUUAGCCGUGCUCGCGGUCAUGAGCGGCGUGUGGAUAUGUAUUGAGUAUAGACUUGUGUUUACUCUCCUAAAUGCUGAAAUUUACCUUCAAAUUGUGAUGAGAUUUGAGAAUGAUCUCCUUGCUGCCAUGGAUGGCAAUAAGGUGAAUAUUUAUACAUGAUUAAUGCCUACCUUGAUGCCCAAUACGUCAAAUACUAGCUUGCUGAAAUUUAUUUGAAAGUAAACCUGAUUUAGAAAUGUUUUAUGCAAAUAAAACUUGCUUUAUGCUAAAAAGAACCAUAUUAUGCCUUCCUUGAUUAUAUGCCUUGCAAGUAGGGUCUUAGGCUUGUCUUGGUGCUUGCCAGUACAUUAUUUCUAAUAAUGUACUGACUCUUGCUAUGGAAUUAACCUUUUGCUUGCAGGAUUUAGACUUAGCCUUUGAGUGAUGCGGGUGAUCGACUGCUUCUUCUAGGACUUGAACUUAAUGGGGUAAACCCCUAGUCGGUGUGCUUGUGGAUUGGGUAGACAAGCUUCCGCUGUUCUAUAUAUUUAUUUGGCCAGUCGGCCGAUGUAACUAAAGUAGAUGUAGUUUAUAAUCGCUUUCAUCUUAUUUGUGUUUGCUAUGUAUAAUCAUGCUUGAGAUGAAAGUGUGAAUCUAGUGCACAUCCUGG